rnacentral:misc_RNA from 1 species
CACAGUUAUUUGUUCUGUAGAAUCAGUCAAAACUAUGCAGUAACAAUUCUUAAUACCAGUGAACAUAACAGUGCUUUUUAUGCAUGACAUACUGAUAAUAAUAAGACAUAAGAGCACAGUUUUAUUUAUGCACCCAUGUUACAACUGCAAAAAGAUGAACAAAAUCCAAAGGAAAGAGCUUACAACAGAAUUUACAGCCGUCAAUCUAGAGUGUUGCCUUUUAGCAACAUAUCAUUUUAAAGAACAUUCUGAGUUCAGACUAUAUGCUAAUUUUUCUAAUUUGUUGAAAACUGAGAGGUGUCUGAUUUUAGGAUUUAGCACUUG